AGUGAACGCUGGCGGUAGGCCUAACACAUGCAAGUCGAACGGCAGCACAGUAAGAGCUUGCUCUUACGGGUGGCGAGUGGCGGACGGGUGAGGAAUACAUCGGAAUCUACUUUUUCGUGGGGGAUAACGUAGGGAAACUUACGCUAAUACCGCAUAUGACCUACGGGUGAAAGCAGGGGAUCUUCGGACCUUGCGCGAUUGAAUGAGCCGAUGUCGGAUUAGCUAGUUGGCGGGGUAAAGGCCCACCAAGGCGACGAUCCGUAGCUGGUCUGAGAGGAUGAUCAGCCACACUGGAACUGAGACACGGUCCAGACUCCUACGGGCGGCAGCAGUGGGGAAUAUUGGACAAUGGGCGCAAGCCUGAUCCAGCCAUACCGCGUGGGUGAAGAAGUCCUUCGGGUUGUAAAGCCCUUUUGUUGGGAAAGAAAAGCAGCAGGUUAAUACCCCGCUGUUCUGACGGUACCCAAAGAAUAAGCACCGGCUAACUUCGUG
rnacentral:rRNA from 1 species